rnacentral:rRNA from 1 species
GUGCACCAGGCGAGAAACCUCCGCAAUGCUCGAAAGAGCGACGGGGGGACUCCAAGUGCCUACGCUCAGCGUAGGCUGUUCCCGAGCCUAAAAAGCUCGGGGAGUAAGGGCUGGGUAAGACGGGUGCCAGCCGCCGCGGUAAUACCCGCAGCCCGAGUGGUGGCCGCUAUUAUUGGGCCUAAAGCGUCCGUAGCCGGCUCGGUAAAUGCCUGGGUAAAUCGUCUGGCCCAACCAGACGAAUUCCGGGUAGACUGCCGGGCUAGGGGACCGGAGGAGGGAGAGGGUACUCCAGGGGUAGGGGUGAAAUCAGCAAGGUGAGUU